UAAACCCAAAGGCGAAAUGAAAGUAAAGAGUGGAACAUUGUUUUUAAAGUAUUUAUACUUUAUUAACGAUUUCUCUCGAGGGAAGAUAGGAAGCUCAACUUUAAUAAAAUGUAUUUUUUAUAUAUUUAUAUUAUUGCAUGAGUUUUCUCGCAUUCCCGGGGCGCUUGAUUCUCGCUUUGCGAGUCUAUGCGCACCUAGAGCGUACACGCUGAUACCCGAAAGAUGGUGAACUAUGCCUGGCCAGGACGAAGCCAGGGGAAACCCUGGUGGAGGUCCGCAGCGAUUCUGACGUGCAAAUCGAUCGUCGGAGCUGGGUAUAGGGGCGAAAGACCAAUCGAACCAUCUAGUAGCUGGUUCCCUCUGAAGUUUCCCUCAGGAUAGCUUGCGCUCAAUUGAUACGAGUCUCAUCCGGUAGAGCGAAUGAUUAGAGGCAUUGGGGUCGAAACGACCUCAACCUAUUCUCAAACUCCAAAUAGAUGAGACCCCCGGCUUUCUUGAAAAAUGAAGCCGUGGGACUAGGAUCAGAGUGCCAAGUGGGCCAAUUU
rnacentral:rRNA from 1 species